AUUGAACGCUGGCGGCAGGCCUAACACAUGCAAGUCGAGCGGAUGAAGGGUGCUUGCUCCUGGAUUCAGCGGCGGACGGGUGUGUAAUGCCUAGGAAUCUGCCUGGCUGUGGGUUAUAACGUCUUGAAACGGGCGCUAAUACCGCAGACGACCUGAUGGAGAAAGAGGGGGGUCUUUGGACCUUUCGCUCUCAGGGGAGCGUAGGCCGGAUUGGCUAGUUGGUGGGUUAAGGGGCUACCUAGGCGGCUAUUCGUAACUGGUCUGAGAGGAUGAUAAGCCACAUGGGAACUGGAACACGGACCAUAGUCCUACGGGAGGGAGCAGUGUGGAAUAUUGGACAAUGGGCGGAAGCAUGAUCCAGCCAGGCCGAGUGUGUGAAGAAGGCCUUCGGAUUGUAAAGAACUUUAAGUGGGGAGGAAGCGCAGUAGGUUAAUACCAAGCUGGUUUGACGGUACCAACAGAAUAAGCACCGGCUAACUUCGUG
rnacentral:rRNA from 1 species